UCUACUUGAAGGGAUUGGAGAUGUAAUGAGACAGAUUGCUUUGACUAUUUGGGAUCCUUUUUGACUCCAUACAAAUUUCAGGAAUGUUGUUCCUAUUUCUGUGAAAGAUGCCACUGGAAUUUUGAUUAUAGAAAUGAUGUGAGACAAAAAGCAAGUUUGAGCGAUUUUCCUAUUCAAGUUUGAAAUGGGUCAUAAAGCAGUGGAGAUAACUUGCAACAUCAACAACACAUUUGGUCCAGGAACUGCUAGUGAACAUACAGUGCAGUGGUGGUUCAAGAAGUUUUGCAAAGGAGACGAGAGCCUUGAGGAUGAGGAGUGCAGUGACCGGCCAUUGGAAGUUGACAAUGGCCAGCUGAAAGGAUCAUUGAAGCUGAUCCUCUUAAAACUACAUGAGGAGUUGAUCUUACAUGAGAAGUUGCCAAAGAACUCAACACCAGCAUUUGAGGUAAAUUGGAAAGGUGAAAAAUCUCAGUAAGUGGGUGCCUUACGAGCUGACAGCAAAUAACAAAAAUUGUCAUUUUGAAGUGUCGUCUUCUCUUAUUCUAUGCAACAACAACGAACCAUUUCUCAAUUGGAUGGUGAUGUGAUGAAAAGUGGCUUUUAUAUGACAACUGGUGAUGACCAACUCAGUGGUUGGACCGAGAAGGUGCCCCAAAGCACUUUCCCAAGGCCAAAUUUGCACCAAAAAAAAAGGUCAUGGUCACUGUUUGGUGGUCUGCUGCCUGUCUGAUCCACCACAGCUUCCUGAAUCCCAGUGAAACCACUACAUCUGAGAAGUAUGCUCAGCAAAUCAAUGAGAAGCACUGGAAACUGCAGCGCCUGCAGCCUGUAUUGGUCAACAGAACGGGCCCAGUUCUUCUCCACAACGAUGUCCAACCACAUGUUGCACAACCAGUGCUUCAAAAGCUGAAUG